UUGUCUUCAUUUCUAGUCUCUUAAUCUAAUUAAUUGGUGCACAGUAAUUCCCAAAACAUAAUAGGAUUAUCAGCACAGUCAAGCUUUUAUCCAGCUGUAGUUUAAAGCAAACCAUGUAACAAGACAGUGAUAAAGAAAUUUCAUAAUUAUAGUAGACACAAUUAAAGCACUCUUAAUUAGGAAUCUGAUUAAUCAGAACAUCUUUGAAAAACACACUGAAUUCUGGUGGCUGCAGAUUGAGAUUCUGGUUUAAUUGUGUGCAAAUUUUGUCUGCUGCUUCCAGUCUCCUAACAGGCUGUUUGCUUCUUGGAAGGAGAGUUUGAUCCCUCACAAUGUCUGGCUGCGAGCAAUAGCUGCCUUGCAGUGAGGAGUGGAACGGCAGCUAGCAAGCGACAGAGUCCAGAACAAAAAUCCAGUAUACAGCUCUCCACCGAAAUGGAAUCUCAGGCCCAGAUUCACCCUUGGUUUGAGAGAGGGUUGCUCACAGGAGGAGAGAAAGCUUGAGGAGG